UGACCUGCCUAGGCUGCAAUAUGUAUAUUUUUAUGGUAACUGAGCUCCCAAAUGCAAUUCAAUAUAGUUGCCUGUAGAUGAAUUUCAUUAAUUUUAGAAUAAGCAACAUACCAUAUUUUGAUGCGCUUUUAAUGUUGUGCACUAUACUUAGAAAACAAUAGGGCAUAGGUUUUAGGCUUUGGUAGAUAUGUAAGAUCUGGCAAACAAAAACAACACGAUUUUAAAGAAGUGUUUCACAUGUGAAAUCAUUUUAUACGAAGGGUCUAAUUUGGCAUUAAUUAAAAAUGACAAAUUGGUGUUGUUUCAAGUAUAACUAAAGUUUUUUUAACUCUACCAUUCCCAUUCUUUUUCAAAUGAAGUUUUCUGACAGUAUCACUGUUAUGGUUAACUAUUGGAGCAUAUUUUUACCGGAAGUGACGCAAAAUAGAAGUGUUUUACCCAUUUUCAGGAGGCGGUCGAAAAUAGGUUGUGGUCGUAAAUAGGUUGUUCCGAGAUAUGUGAGAGUGCAGCUUUAAGGAGUACUUCGUUAUAUCAAUAAAAUAUACUCGUUAAACUGUCAAUUGUUUACGUAUCUACAUAAAUUCAAUUACCUUUUGAACUCGAAAGUGUUAUAUUUUCAAAGAAAAUAACCAUUUACCUCUGUUCAGUGUCGGUCAAAUUCGAUGUUUUGAAUCACUCUAGCGCGUGCUAAAUACUAAAUGACGCAAUGUUUUGGACUGGUCUUCAUUUUCUUCGAUACAGGCACAACCGAGCGUAAAUAUUAAGCGAGAAAGUCUAGUGGAACGAUGCAGGGUUCAUUGGGCCACUCCUUUUUUAUUUUUUGGUUUACAAGAAUUUUUGGAAAAACUGUCCACCGGGUGGUCGAAAAAAAAAAAAAAAAAAAGGUAAAAAGUCACAAAACAUACUCUUAAAGGGUGAAAGUCAGAGAACAACAUAAAUACAUUGAUAAUUUAUAUCAUUUACUUGACAUUUUAAAUUUUUAAACUAAUAUUAAUGCAUGUUUUAAUACACUCAAAGUUUCAAGGUUCUAAUUAAACACACAGUUUAAAUCUUACAUACUGUGCAUAUAAAACAUCAAUGAUAUUACUAUAAAACAUGUUUACAUGUAUAAACUACACUUUUUAUCAAAGAUACAUUGAAUAUUACUCAGCAGGACAUUUGUUUAGCUUUAAGGGUAUGCUAAAGCAAAAGUGAAUGCAGAACACUUAAAAACUGACCAAUAUUAAAUUGGAAAAAAGGGAAGGCAAAUUUUACGCUUUAAAAUACACAAGAAUUGCACUGUAUUAAGACAACACAUUACAUUUUCUAAGCAUUGUUUCAGUUAUUUCAAUAUUGGAAAAUGUCAAUAAAGUGAAAUAAUUUCCAAUUUUGUAAAUAAGGAAGUAAUAUUGUAUGAAGACAUUGUGCUUUAAUAUUGUGCAAACAAUUCCUGAAAAACUAAAAACCAAACUAGACCUAGAUUUGAGUUUUAAUAACCUUUACCAUGCGGGGUCCUAGUUGUGUGUAACCCAAUCCAUGCUAAGUCCGGAUAUUUUCGGACCGGGAUAUUUACCAUGCGAUGUUCAGCAAAUCCAUUUCGGAUUCAAAUCUUGCAGCAAAUUACCACAUCAGUACAUAAAAAUCACAUAGCAAAAUAAUAAAUCUAGCAUGUGACUUAACUUUAUGUACCAAUGAUAGCAACAGUGAAAUCCAUAAUUAUUUAUCGGAUAUUUUCAUCUUCUCCCAACUCCGCCAUUUUGUGUAUCAUGCGUUCACAGGGCAUCUAUACUUCAUGAUUGUUUAUUUUUCAUUUUAAAGAGAAUUCCUUGGUUACAACAACAAAUCUCAUUUAUAGUGAAAUAUCAAGUUCAUAACAAAUUAAAAUGGACUUAUUCAAAAUAGUUUUCCGUGUUGUUUUAUCUUAAUGUUUUGCACACAACUCCUGGCAUUAGUAAAUUGCAUUGACACAUGUGUUCAACUCUUUCAUUGUUUUUACUCUACUAUUAACCCAAACAUGAAUAAACAUUGUAAUCUAGAAUAAACCCAAGCUUUACAUUGACUCAAUGACCAGUAUUUCCAAACCAGUUUGUGAUUUAAAAUCCAUAAAGAGAACCGACCGAACUUGUGAAACUAGAUCACCGGUGUCAACUUAAAAAUUUUACUUUCGAUUUCACCACUCACACUAAGUGCACUGUUAUUUUAUAUUAACCAUAAAAUGUUAUAAAAUAUUUUUCUCACACAUAAUUUACAGAUAUUUGUGUCUACUUAUUCGAUGGCAGCCGCUGCCACUUAUUUUUCAUCUAUAAACAACAAUAUUUUCAUGACCUAAAUUUGCGGGGAAAAACAACAAUCACGUGACCGUUAUUGUUUGUGUCGGCUGUUAAAUUUGCCAAUGUAUUUUGCUAUUGUUAUUUUAACAACUCCUGCAUAUUUAACUUAAUUAUUUUUAUACAAAGAAUGACUGCUAUCGUCAAUUUCGCCAUUGCCAACGGCGCUGCCAUAACAGUUGACUGGCUCACAUGUUAUCACUAUAAAUCGGCGAAUACGACUACGGAACAACAAACCAGUCGAGAUCUACUGCAUUCGUACUCUUAUCCGUUCGUUUUUCUUUCGUUUCGCACCAAAAUCAAUACGGUCGGGAAAAUGAUCUUUAAAAAAAAAAGUGAAAUUCAUUUUUUAUUUUUUUUGUACUUUUCGGAAAAUUAGACCCGCCGGUUUUGUUAACCAAUUUAUAUAAAAGUAGUGGCCUUGGGUUUGUUUACAAAAAUUCAAGCAUCCGGUUAAGAAGACGACAAAUAAGAAUGGUAUUAAGUUGGUAGAAUGGAACUCCUUCCUGAUUCCUGCACAUGUAAGUUACCAGAUACUUUUGAGGGACCAAUUUAAGGGCAAACAGACAAACGUUUUGAUGCAAAGAAAGCAUUGGAUUUGAAAGUUCCCAUGGAGAAGAAAAAUGGAGAGAUUCUAAAAGUAUGAAGAUACUCCUGUGUAUAAUGAGGAAAUCUUGUCAGUGAAUGUUGUUGCAAUUGUGGACCAGGCCAGAGUUGUACUAAACCAACUAAGACACAAUGAGAUACAGGAAUGACACAAUGAGAAACAGGAAACAGGAAAGUGAUGAAUGAUCGCCACCUGUUACAAAUUCAUCUAGAAAACUCCCCACAUCCAACAAGAGACAGUCUGACUUCAAAAUCUUCAUUGAAGGCAACUUAAUGGACAAGACAUCCAUCACAUAAAGAUUCACUAAAAUUGGAAUGAUAUACCAAUUUUAACUUUUAACAGACAAAUACAUUAUAGAUUUGAAAAUAGAUUACCCUUAAAUAAGUUGGAUGAUUAACAUUUACCUCAACACAGUACAAAGUGCUCAUGUUGAACUAUUGUGAUUGAUCAUAGUCUGUCCUUCAUUUUUAUUAACAGUUUCAUACAGUGUUAACACUUUAGUAUGGGGACUCAUUUUUAGCUCAACUUUUCAAAGAAUAUGGAGAGCUAUACUACUCACCCAAGCGUCGGCGUCACCCCUUGGUUAAGGGUUUGCGUGCAAGCACACAUAGGUUAAUAUCUCAGCAACUACUUGAGGUAUUGCAUUGAGACUUUAUACAAUAGUACUCAACCAUCCAACCUACUUAAUUAACCAAGUUUGAUAACUCUACUUUGCAUUUAAUGCCAAUAAUAGGCCUUUAAUAUUUGACUUAGAAAUUCUGGUUAAGGUUUUGUAUGCAAGCACACAUAGGUUAAUAUCUCAGCAACUACUUGAGGUAUUGCAUUGAGACUUGAUACAAUGGUACUCAACCAUCCAACCUACUUAUUUAAACAAGUAAGAUAACUCUAGUUUGCAUUUAAUGUAAAUAAUAGGCCUUUAUUAUUUGACUUAGAAAUUCUGGUUAAGGUUUUGCAUGCAAGCACACAUAGGUUAAUAUCUCAGCAACUGCUUGAGGUAUUGCAUUGAGACUUGAUACAAUGGUACUCAACCAUCCAACCUACUUAUUUAAACAAGUAAGAUAACUCUUGUUUGCAUUUAAUGUACAUAAUAGGCCUUUAUUAUUUGACUUAGAAAUUCUGGUUAAGGUUUUGCAUGCAAGCACACAUAGGUUAAUAUCUCAGCAACUGCUUGAGGUAUUGCAUUGAGACUUGAUACAAUGGUACUCAACCAUCCAACCUACUUAUUUAAACAAGUAAGAUAACUCUUGUUUGCAUUUAAUGUACAUAAUAGGCCUUUAUUAUUUGACUUAGAAAUUCUGGUUAAGGUUUUGCAUGCAAGCACACAUAGGUUAAUAUCUCAGCAACUGCUUGAGGUAUUGCAUUGAGACUUGAUACAAUGGUACUCAACCAUCCAACCUACUUAAUUUUCCAAGUUAUAUAACUAUAGUUUGCAUUUAAUGCAAAUACUUGCCUUUAUUAUUUCACUCAGAAAUUCUGGUUAAGGUUUUGCAUGUAAGCACACAUAGGUUAAUAUCUCAGCAACUACUGGAUGAAUUGCAUUGAGACUUUAUACAACCACCCAACCUAAUUGAAUAAUCAAAUUAGAUAAAAAUUCUGGUUAAAAUUUUGCAUGUAUCUCCGCACAUCAUGUAUUGCAUUGAAAUCUAAUCUAACAAUGAUCCAUGCAUGUUUCGCCAAAACUUUUCAAUCCUUACACUGAAAAGCAGCGGAAUAGUCGAGAGCGCUGUCUCUGUGACAGCUCUUGUCUCUUUGGUCUUUAUUCAUACUGGCCAGAAUAUGUUUACCAAAAAAAUCUUAGUAGAGAUUGAUAACUGUUCAGGUUGGACAAAAAGCAUGUAGGUUGUUUGUUCUAAUAAUAUAAACUGUAAAUGCUUCAGAAACUAUAUAUAUAAUUUUUCAUGAUAUUUGUCAGUAUUUAUUCUCGUCAACAUUUAAAUAAUAUUAGGUGAAACUUGUUUAUUGGUCAAAAUGUGUUUGAUUAGAGUGGCCUCAAGUUCCACUUCAUAUGAAUGAAAUUUGGUCAAGUUUUAGAAAAAAACUAUGUUCUAGUUUUAUAGGCCAUAUUCUCUUCCCAAGCUUUCCUUAAAGAAUGAAUGUAGGUAAUAUGAAACAGGAGUCACUAAGUCAAGUAUUAAAAACCUUAAAAAUUGCUAUUCAUAGAGGUAUUGUUUCCUCAUCAUAAAUCACAACUAAGCCAGCAAGACUUUUCAACAAAUAAGGCAUAACAUGUAAAAAGUUAAUAAUUAGGCACAUAUUUUAGUGAAUAAAAGCUUGUGAACAUAUUAUUGAAACAAAUAAUGUGUCUGGUUCUGAGGUGAGCAAUAAAGCACAUUGCUUAGUAACAAUUGAGCUAGCUCAUUAUUAAAAGUUUGUUUUAAACUUGAAUUAAAUGAAUGCAAAUCAUAUAUUAUUAUUUUUAAUCUAUAUUUUUUUUUAGUUACAUUGUUCUGUUGUUAAUUUCCAUACUGACUUGGUCAAUUAUGGCUAAUUGUCUAAUUAUAUUUUAACUUCUAACCUAAAUGUUUCAUUGUACUUUUGAGUGUUCUGUUAACUAUAUUGCACAUUACCCUAUAUGACAGUAUAAAUUCAAUAAAACCUUGGUUAUUAAGUUCCAUACAUAUUGGAGCACAUGGUAAGCCUCUAGAAAUGUCACUUCUUAAACCUAGAUUCUUGAUCUGUUCGCCACAUUGUUUUGUUAAUUUUUUGUUUAUAAAAACAAAUGAUUGUUUAAUGUCAAGGAAACCUUUUUAAAGUUAAAAUGUAGAUGUACAUAGAUAACUGUCAAAUAUUAUUUACCAUUUAAUAACUGUCUAAAGGCAAAAUUUCCAUUCAUUUUUAUACGCCCAUCUUGCGAUGGCCGUAUUAUGGGAACACCCAUGGCGGGCGGGCGGGCGGCUCCACAAUGUUGUCCGCUCUCUAACUUGAACAUUUCUCAUCCAAUUUCCACCAAACUUCAUGAAAGUGUUUGUUGGUAAAAUAUCUAGGUCAAGUUCGAUAACCAGCCAAAUCGCUUUAGGCACUCCAGAGUUAUGGCCCCCUGAAUUUGUCCAAAUUGGCCAUUUUAGCUUUGUCCGCUCUCUUACUUGAUCAUUUCUCAUCCAAUUUCCACCAUACGUCAUGAAAGUGUUUGUUGGUGAAAUAUCUCGGUCAAGUUCAAUAAACAGCCAAAUCGCUUUAGGCACUCCAGAGUUAUGGCCCCCUGAAUUUGUCAAAAUUGUCCAUUUUAGCUUUGUCCGCUCUCUAACUUGAACAUUUCUCAUCCAAUUUCCACCAAACUUCAUGAAAGUGUUUGAGGUGAAAUAUCUAGGUCAAGUUCGAUAACCAGCCUAAUCGCUUUAGGCACUCCAGAGUUAUGGCCCCCUGAAUUUAUCAAAAUUGGCCAUUUUAGCUUUGUCUACUCUCAAACUUGAACAGUUUUUAUCCGAAUUUCACCAAACUUGCUACUAUAAAUGUUUGUUGGUAUAUAUUCUUGGCAAAGUUCUAUAACCAGCCAGGCUCUUCAGGAUUAUGGCCCUUGAAUUGGUCAAAAUUUGCCAUUUUUGCUUUGUCCACUGUAAUUUGAACAGUUAUCAUCUGAUCUUCACCAAACUUGCUGAAAAUAUUUGUUGGUAAAAUAAAUCGGUCAAGUAUGAUAAUCAGCCAAAUGCCCCGAAGCACUUCAGGAUUACUGCCCUUGCCAUUUAAGCUUUGUCUACUCUCUAACUUGAACAAUUCUCAUCUGACCUUCACCAAACUUGCUGAAAAUGUUUGUAGCUAUAAAAUCUUUACCAAGAAUGUUUGCCGGUAUAAAUGCUUUGCCAAGUACACACUGAUUGUCUCUUGGGUACGAUUAAGGAUGAAUUUAGAAUCCAAGAAAUUAUUGAUGGGCGAAUUUUGUGAGUGUCACUCUUGUUAUAUUUGAUUUGGGUCCCUAGGUCACUGUAACUAAAAAUAGAAAAAUGCUUGGUACUGAAUAACUUCAGUUUUAAUACAUUUAAAACUGAAUCUCACAAUAAAGGCUGAAGUUCUUGUUGCAUUGCAGCAUUUCUAGUUAACUUUUUAAUUUGACUCUUUUUAUUGCUUUCGACAGGCACAUAUUACAUCAUUAUUGUAUUCAUUUUUAAGACAAAGCCUCAUUUAAUUGAGCGUGCUGUCCAAAGACAGCUCUUGUUGACAUAAUUAUAAGACACCUUAUGUUAUGGUUUAUAUGAACAAUAGCUGUUUCUGUGUAUGUUUUAGAAGAAACUUCCAUUUCUUAUCAUAUUGAUGGACAUAGAUAUACAUACAUGUACGGGAUUAUUGACAUCAGAUUCUUAGGAUUAAAUUUACUAAUGUUCUGUUCAUGUUCAAAAUAGAUACAGUUAUGGUAAAUG